rnacentral:rRNA from 1 species
CACGUAGGGCGCAAGCGUUGUCCGGAAUUAUUGGGCGUAAAGAGCUCGUAGGCGGUCUGUUGCGUCCGCUGUGAAAACUCGGGGCUUAACCCCGAGCCUGCAGUGGAUACGGGCAGACUAGAGGUAGGUAGGGGAGAAUGGAAUUCCCGGUGUAGCGGUGAAAUGCGCAGAUAUCGGGAGGAACACCGGUGGCGAAGGCGGUUCUCUGGGCCGAUACUGACGCUGAGGCACGAAAGCGUGGGGAGCAAACAGG